rnacentral:rRNA from 1 species
UACGUAGGGUGCAAGCGUUAAUCGGAAUUACUGGGCGUAAAGCGUGCGCAGGCGGUUUUGCAAGUCAGGUGUGAAAUCCCCGGGCUUAACCUGGGAACUGCAUUUGUGACUGCACGGCUAGAGUGCGGCAGAGGGGGAUGGAAUUCCGCGUGUAGCAGUGAAAUGCGUAGAUAUGCGGAGGAACACCGAUGGCGAAGGCAAUCCCCUGGGCCUGCACUGACGCUCAUGCACGAAAGCGUGGGGAGCAAACAGG